rnacentral:tRNA from 11 species
CGUGCCGGGAUUUGAACUCCGGACAUCUGACAUGCGAGGUGAGCAUGUUACCACUACUCCACCAACAC